GAUGGGGUAUUACAUGUUUGGUAUCAGAGCAAAAGUUUAUGAUUAUAUGGGGAUUAUGAUAAAACAAGGUUUAUGAUCAUUGGAAAAUCAUGAUAAGCCAAGGUAAAUGAUCAUUUGGGAUUGUGGAAUGGAUAAAAUCGAGACUACAGAUUUGAUCAUUAGGGAAGUGAUGGUAUAGUAUCAGAACUUAAGGGUAUGAUUAUUA
rnacentral:lncRNA from 1 species